AACGAACGCUGGCGGCGCGUCUUAAACAUGCAAGUCGAACGGCAGGAAGGGGCUUGCCCCUUCUGAGAGUGGCGGACUGGUGAGUAACACGUGGGUGACAUACCUUUUAGUUGGGGAUAGCUAUUAGAAAUAGUAGGUAAUACCGAAUGUGACCGUACCUGUUAGAGGGGUACGAGGAAAGGAGCUAAGGCUUCGCUAAAAGAAUGGCUCGCGGCCCAUUAUGCUCGUUGGUGAGGUAACGGCCCACCAAGGCGAUGAUGGGUAUCCGGCCUGAGAGGGUGAACGGACACAUUGGGACUGAGAUACGGCCCAGACUUCUACGGGAGGCAGCAGUUAAGAAUAUUCCGCAAAGGACGAAAGUCUGACGGAGCGACGCCGCGUGGAUGAAGAAUGCCGAAAGGUUGUAAAAUCCUUUUAAGCCUGAUGAAUAAGCACAGUAGGGAAUGAUUGUGCGGUGACCGUAGGGCUUGAAUAAGCACCGGCUAAUUACGUG
rnacentral:rRNA from 1 species